GUGCCAGCCGCCGCGGUAAUACGUAGGGGGCUAGCGUUGUCCGGAAUCAUUGGGCGUAAAGAGCGUGUAGGCGGCCCGGUAAGUCCGCUGUGAAAGUCGGGGGCUCAACCCUCGAAUGCCGGUGGAUACUGUCGGGCUAGAGUGCGGAAGAGGCGAGUGGAAUUCCUGGUGUAGCGGUGAAAUGCGCAGAUAUCAGGAGGAACACCGAUUGCGAAGGCAGCUCGCUGGGACGUAACUGACGCUGAGACGCGAAAGCGUGGGGAGCAAACAGGAUUAGAAACCCUUGUAGUCC
rnacentral:rRNA from 1 species